GGCAGAUCUCUGUAGGAUUGUCUCAGUCCGCCCUGGGUGCGAAGCUCUCUGAUUCCGCAGGCGCCAACGGGACACUCGCCCGACUGUUCAAUGCUGCCACCCACACCUAAAACCUAAAGAGCCUGGAGAUGAUUCGGUUGCGCCUGGGAGGCUGGGGCUGCGUGUGCCUGCUCCUGGGAGGACACCACAGUCCGGAUCCGGAGGAUCUCUGGUCCCAAAGCGGCAUCCCGCGCUGCGGGAGCCCUGGUUCAUGCUCUGGCGGUAGCGUUUGACUCGAAUGUGGGCUACUACGCUCUGAGUGCUGCGGAGAAGGAAGGAAACGUGAGACCUCCUCAUCCAGGGCUUUGACCCCAACCACCUGGGACCAGAGCCAUGCAGAACCGGAGGGACCUGGAACCUGCUCUCUCCACUGGAGCUGCAAUCCAGCCCGGACCAUUCCCAGGGCCAGAGCAGUGGAGAGGGCACAACCUCUGCAGAGGGUAUAGUUACCUGGCCUGUGGGGUGCUAGAUGUGCUCUGCUUGUCCUGGAGCUGAACAAGGGUCUGUGUAGGGACUGUCUUCUCAUCAGCGAGCCCCGUGGGGUAACUGCUGGAUGCUUGCAGUUCUCUCUUCCCAUGACUUAGCGCCCACUUAUUCCACCUAAAAAAUGCAAGCAGAUGCGUUUGGCUUGUGUUCAAGAGGUGUCCCAUAGCUCCCGUAUCCACUCCCUUCUAGCCCCUCUGGACCAUCGUCAGUUUUCCCUUACUGCCAGGUAUUAGGACUGAAGAAAGUACUGUCCCAAACUCACUUCUUUCGGAAUUGCGAGGACGCGUCUAGCCGUGCAGUGUCUGCUCCAAGGACGGCGAGUGAACCCAGGAACAUCAAUGUGACGGUAACCAGCUUCAUUCUGUGGCGACGCUCAGAUACCCUGGAAAGAAUCAAGGAGCCUAGUGUGAGGAACCAGGCCAGCUGCACAGUCCCGGUGAGGCACGAAGGGCGGUGGCGGAGGGUGAGGGGGGAUUGGCGGCUCCCGCUUGGCCCAGUGGCUUAUCUCUCCCUGGCACUGAGAGGCGCCGCCGGAGGCUUUUGCACUGGCCGGGUGGGUGACAAGCAAGGCAAAGGAAGCCCCUGCACAGCGCCAGGCUUCCAGAGAUUUCCAUCUCAAAUGCCAGGAUCAUGGCCCAAUGAGGAAAGAUCUCAGGAGAGCUCCAAAUGUGUGCGUGAGCUAGACCUGGGGCAUGAGAUGCACUCUACAGUGGAUACCCCAAAGUGGUUUGCCCCCCUUGUCCAGUGCUGCAAGUUUUUGGCCUUCCGCAAAGCCGUCCCCCCUCCUCAACACGCUGGAGCGUGUCCUUACCUGCUGAAGGGGUGAUUUUUCAAGCACUUGAAGGAGAAAAUCCGAGACGUCCUUCUGACAGCGGCAAAACCCCCAAGUCCGAGAUUGACUGCGAUGAGAAGCCAGGAGCGGUAACGCUGAAGCUGUUGUGCCUAGUGUCACCAAGAAACUACUGAACAGCCAGCUCUGGCUCCAGCGCUUUAUACACGCUCGCGCUCGGGGGGGGCGGGGCCUGCUCUGCCCUGGAGCCCUCCCUUUCCUCCAGCGCGCUCGCUUCUAAGAUCUGAUCUGCCCCGCAGCUUGCCUGUGGGUAUGGGGGUUGAGGUAGAGGUCCUUUGUGGCCCGGGGUCUCAGAGAUCGGCUCUGGGAGAUUGGACUGCUGCGGAACUUUCUUUGCCCUGAUUUCCUGGCGUAGGGUUCAGAGAGUGAGACGGGAAGGAGGGCCAGAAGAGCUUGGGGCGAGGGGGGAUUCUUUUCCCAGAACCUCUACAGCUCAGAAUGCUGAUCUGAGCUUUCUGGACAGAGCUGUAAGAACCCGGGGACGGAUGGGACACAUGGCUAACCUAAACCCUGGACUUAGGGAGCUGUGUCCUCAAAUGGGCCGCGCCCCCUGCCGGCUUAGCACCUGAAUGAGCCUCGACCCCCCGCUCCGCUUCUGCCGGCAGGGUACCCCAGGAAGGGUGAGACUCAGACUCUCUGACAGAGGCUGAGACUGAAAGGUUUCUAGACCGGCUAGCUAGUAAGAUUUCGUAAUCAGGGCAAAGCUGGAAACAGCUGAAUUGAAAAUUGGGGUUUGGAGAGGGUAGUUAUCUGAAGAUUCAGAACUCACAUUCCAAUUUGGAAAUACAGGAAUAGCCAAAAUUAGGAAGAAGGUUUUGUUUUCCUCCUUGUAAUACUAUUAUGCCUUAUAAGGUUAUAACCUGCGAGUUGACCUGACUGCCUUCAUUCAUCCAUUGUAAACGUGAGGAGUGACUGACAGGGAGCACACUAAUGCUUCACGUAUGUUAAUCGCUUUACCGUUGGCAAAUCCCAGCCUCUUUUGAUCUUUGCACACAUUCCUGAGCUGGGGUUCUCGUAUAUUAAAAUGAAAUUCAGAGAA